AGCUGGCUAGCUCAGCUGGUUAGAGCAUGGUGCUGAUUACGCCAAGCUUGCAGGUUCAAUCCCCGUAUGGGGCAGCUG